UCAAAAAAAGUCUCGAAUCCACUUGAAAUUCUCUGGAAGUCGUUCAGCCUUGUAUUCUUUGCCGAAUGGGGAGACAGAUCAAUGCUUGCAGCAAUCGCACUCGGUGCUGCACAGUCACAGUGGGGUGUGGCAAGUGGAGCCAUCGCUGGACACCUACUUGCGACAUCGAUUGCAAUUGUUGGAAGAGCAUU